rnacentral:lncRNA from 1 species
UUCACAACAUCUUUCUUUAUUCACAUAUAUAAUCUUUUUCUUUUCAAGCCUUGCUACACAACAUUUCUCAGUUAUCCCACAAUCUAAAAGGAAAGGUUCGUUUUGUUUCAGAUAUAUUUGCGUGUUCCUUAAAGAUCUGAACUGUGGCAUAUACUCUUCAUAUAUCUCACUUGUUCCCUACAUUUUCCAAGGGUUUAAGCUAGCGCAAGUGUCAUUAUCAUAUCAUAUCAUAUCAUAUCAUGGGAUAAAUAUGUGAAUCCAUAAUGUCGAAGAGAUCUUAGCGUAUGCAGUUAGAAGAAUCCGAUCACAAGAAACACUCCGAGUUUUUAUGAUACAGGACACCAACUAUAUAUAUGAAAAAACAAAAUUAGUUAAAAACUACAAGGUUCUUCUGAUCUUUAAGCAAAAAUCUUAAAUAUGUGAUGCUAUAACAACGUAACUAAAAAUAUCAAGAAAAACAAAUUCCUACAAGUCAAGUUCUGAUGCACGUAAUAAAAAUCAAAACAAAAUUCUUGAUAAUUUGCUAGAUUCAUGAUGAUUAUCUUAAGUAUUAUCAUUAAUCUGAACACUGUGGAUUCAGGCUCAUAUCGAGACAGCAACAUUCGAUUAAACCAAAGAGAUAAACAGAUACAAUCUUAUAAUCCUGAAUCAAUCAAGAGGCAUGAGCUCAAAACUAACCUAAAUCGGAUGUCAGAAAGAGGAACCCAUGUUCGACCGUUUCGCUUG